rnacentral:rRNA from 1 species
CGGGUGGUAAUGCCGGAUGCUCCAGUUGACCGCAUGGUCCUCUGGGAAAGCUUUUGCGGUAUGGGAUGGGGUCGCGUCCUAUCAGCUUGAUGGCGGGGUAACGGCCCACCAUGGCUUCGACGGGUAGCCGGCCUGAGAGGGCGACCGGCCACAUUGGGACUGAGAUACGGCCCAGACUCCUACGGGAGGCAGCAGUGGGGAAUAUUGCACAAUGGGCGCAAGCCUGAUGCAGCGACGCCGCGUGCGGGAUGACGGCCUUCGGGUUGUAAACCGCUUUUGACUGGGAGCAAGCCCUUCGGGGUGAGUGUACCUUUCGAAUAAGCACCGGCUAACUACGUGCCAGCAGCCGCGGUAAUACGUAGGGUGCAAGCGUUAUCCGGAAUUAUUGGGCGUAAAGGGCUCGUAGGCGGUUCGUCGCGUCCGGUGUGAAAGUCCAUCGCUUAACGGUGGAUCCGCGCCGGGUACGGGCGGGCUUGAGUGCGGUAGGGGAGACUGGAAUUCCCGGUGUAACGGUGGAAUGUGUAG